AUUGAACGCUGGCGGAAUGCUUUACACAUGCAAGUCGAACGGCAGCACGGGGGCAACCCUGGUGGCGAGUGGCGAACGGGUGAGUAAUACAUCGGAACGUGCCCAGUCGUGGGGGAUAACGUAGCGAAAGCUACGCUAAUACCGCAUACGAUCUCUGGAUGAAAGCGGGGGGACCGCAAGGCCUCGCGCGAUUGAAGCGGCCGAUGGCAGAUUAGGUAGUUGGUGGGGUAAAGGCUCACCAAGCCGACGAUCUGUAGCUGGUCUGAGAGAGGACGACCAGCCACACUGGGACUGAGACACGGCCCAGACUCCUACGGGAGGCAGCAGUGGGGAAUUUUGGACAAUGGGCGAAAGCCUGAUCCAGCCAUUCCGCGUGCAGGAUGAAGGCCCUCGGGUUGUAAACUGCUUUUGUACGGAACGAAACGGUCCUGGUUAAUACCUGGGGCUAAUGACGGUACCGUAAGAAUAAGCACCGGCUAACUACGUGCCAGCAGCCGCGGUAAU
rnacentral:rRNA from 1 species